GACGUAGGGCGCGAGCGUUGUCCGGAUUUAUUGGGCGUAAAAGAGCUCGUAGGCGGCUUGUUGCGUCGACCGUGAAAACCCGUGGCUUAACUGCGGGCUUGCGGUCGAUACGGGCAGACUAGAGUUCGGUAGGGGAGUCUGGAAUUCCUGGUGUAGCGGUGAAAUGCGCAGAUAGUCAGGAGGAACACCGGUGGCGAAGGCGGGACUCUGGGCCGAUACUGACGCUGAGGAGCGAAAGCGUGGGGAGCGAACAGG
rnacentral:rRNA from 1 species